rnacentral:rRNA from 1 species
CUAAGCAUAUCAAUAAGCGGAGGAAAAGAAACCAACAGGGAUUGCCAUAGUAACGGCGAGUGAAGCGGCAACAGCUCAAAUUUGAAAUCUGGCGUCUUCGGCGUCCGAGUUGUAAUUUGCAGAGGGCGCUUUGGCAUUGGCAGCGGUCCAAGUUCCUUGGAACAGGACGUCACAGAGGGUGAGAAUCCCGUACGUGGUCGCUAGCCUUUACCGUGUAAAGCCCCUUCGACGAGUCGAGUUGUUUGGGAAUGCAGCUCUAAAUGUGGAGGUAAAUUUCUUCUAAAGCUAAAUACUGGCCAGAGACCGAUAGCGCACAAGUAGAGUGAUCGAAAGAUGAAAAGCACUUUGGAAAGAGAGUUAAAAAGCACGUGAAAUUGUUGAAAGGGAAGCGCUUGCAGCCAGACUUGCCUGUAGUUGCUCAUCCGGGUUUCUACCCGGUGCACUCUUCUAUAGGCAGGCCAGCAUCAGUUUGGGCGGUUGGAUAAAGGUCUCUGUCAUGUACCUCCUCUCGGGGAGAACUUAUAGGGGAGACGACAUGCAACCAGCCCGGACUGAGGUCCGCGCAUCUGCUAGGAUGCUGGCGUAAUGGCUGUAAGCGGCCCGUCUUGAAACACGGACCAAGGAGUCUAACAUCUAUGCGAGUGUUUGGGUGUCAAGCCCGAGCGCGUAAUGAAAGUGAACGGAGGUGGGAACCUUUCGGGGUGCACCAUCGACCGAUCCUGAUGUCUUCGGAUGGAUUUGAGUAAGAGCAUAGCUGUUGGGACCCGAAAGAUGGUGAACUAUGCUUGAAUAGGGUGAAGCCAGAGGAAACUCUGGUGGAGGCUCGCAGCGGUUCUGACGUGCAAAUCGAUCGUCAAAUUUGGGCAUAGGGGCGAAAGACUAAUCGAACUAUCUAGUAGCUGGUUUCCUGCCGAGCU